rnacentral:rRNA from 1 species
CCUACGGGCGACAGCAGUGGGGGAUAUUGCACAAUGGGGGGAACCCUGAUGCAGCGACGCCGCGUGGGUGAAGGAGGGUUGCGGCGCGGAAAGCCCUAUCGGCAGGGAAGAAGAUGACGGUACCUGACCAAGAAGCCCCGGCUAACGACGUGCCAGCAGCCGCGGUAAGACGGAGGGGGCAAGCGUUAUCCGGAUUUACUGGGUGUAAAGGGGGCGCAGCCGGCAAUGCAAGCCAGGAGUGAAAGCCCGGGGCCCAACCCCGGGACUGCUCUUGGAACUGCCUGGCUGGAGUACAGGAGGGGCAGGCGUCCUUCCUAUUGUAGCGGUGCACUUCGUAGCUAUUAGGAGGCCCACCGGUGGCGCAGGCGGCCUGCUGGACUGUGCCUGCCGUUGAGGCCC